CCUACGGGAGGCAGCAGUAGGGAAUAUUCGGCAAUGGGGGGAACCCUGACCGAGCAACGCCGCGUGAAGGAAGAAGUUAUUCGGAAUGUAAAGCUCUUUUAACAGGGAAGAAAGAGAAAUUUGAUGGUCCCUGAUGAAUAAGCUCCGGCUAACUACGUGCCAGCAGCCGCGGUAAUACGCGGGGAGCGAGCGUUAUCCAGUAUUAUGGGGCGUAAAGGGUGCGUGGAGGGCAUAGUAAGUCUUUUGGAAAAAUGCUGGGCUCAACCCAGAAGGGCAAAAGAUACUGGAAAGCUAGAGUAUGACAGAGGCAAGUGGAAUUACAUGUGUAGCGGUGAAAUGCGUAGAUAUAUGGAAGAACACCAGUGGCGAAGGCGGCUUGCUGGGUCGAUACUGACAUUGAGGCACGAAAGCGUGGGGAGCAAACAGGAUUAGAUACCCUAGUAGUC
rnacentral:rRNA from 1 species